AAAAAAGAGGAAAACACCAUUCACUCUCUGAAGGUUGGUGACCAGGUCAUUGAAGGAACUAAGAACCUUCUUAAACAUGCAACUGAAUUUUACAAAGAGUUGUUUGGGCCUACCCCUGGAAAUUUAUUCCAAAUGGACCCUGAGGUUUGGGAUGAGGGAGAGAGGAUUAGUGAGGAGGAUAAUAUGUUCCUAACUAGACCUUUCUCUGAAGAGGAAGUGAAAAAAGCUCCGUUUUCUAUGAAUAGUAAUAGGGCCCCUGGCUCGGGUAGCAUUCCGGCCGAGUUUUACCAACAUUGCUGGUGA
rnacentral:rRNA from 1 species